rnacentral:rRNA from 1 species
GACGAACGCUGGCGGCGUGCUUAACACAUGCAAGUCGAACGGAAAGGCCCUGCUUUUGUGGGGUGCUCGAGUGGCGAACGGGUGAGUAACACGUGAGUAACCUGCCCUUGACUUUGGGAUAACUUCAGGAAACUGGGGCUAAUACCGGAUAGGAGCUCCUGCUGCAUGGUGGGGGUUGGAAAGUUUCGGCGGUUGGGGAUGGACUCGCGGCUUAUCAGCUUGUUGGUGGGGUAGUGGCUUACCAAGGCUUUGACGGGUAGCCGGCCUGAGAGGGUGACCGGCCACAUUGGGACUGAGAUACGUCCCAGACCCCUACGGGAGGCAGCAGUGGGGAAUAUUGCACAAUGGGCGGAAGCCUGAUGCAGCAACGCCGCGUGCGGGAUGACGGCCUUCGGGUUGUAAACCGCUUUCGCCUGUGACGAAGCGUGAGUGACGGUAAUGGGUAAAGAAGCACCGGCUAACUACGUG